GAUGAAGAACGCAGCGAAAUGCGAUAAGUAGUGUGAAUUGCAGAAUUUAGUGAAUCAUCGAAUCUUUGAACGCACAUUGCGCCCUAUAGUAUUCUGUAGGGCAUGCCUGUUCGAGCGUUAUUGAGACCUCAAGCUCUGCUUGGAAAUGGGCGCUUGUCUUGCCUUGCAGACUCGCCUUAAAACCAUUGGCAGCUGAUUUACAAUGUUUGGUGCACAGUACAUGAGCCCAAGUGUUGCAAUGAGUGGCCCAAAAGUAUACAAUAGAAGCUUAACCUCGGAUCAGGUAGGGAUACCCGCUGAACUUAAGCAUAUCAAUAAGCGAGGA
rnacentral:misc_RNA from 1 species